ensembl:lncRNA TTTY14 testis expressed transcript, Y-linked 14
GGGGGGAGGGUAGGCAGGUCGGAGGAGGGAGUUGGGAGGAAAGCGGCGGCGGUGGCGGCUUCAACAGCAGCUCUUGCCCUUAAGGAACAAUGAAACACAAAGAUGGUGCAGACCCAGGCCCUGCUUUGACUGGGAGAAAGAUGCAUUCAGUUGACUAAAACUUGAAUGUCAGGAGAAUUCAGUCACACCCAAAGCAGGAGGUAAUAAGACACCGAAGUGAGGACUUCACAGGCUGCUUGGGAGAAGACAAUCAUCCGUGGGCUUGGGAAAGGGAGAAAUGCCUACUGAGUUUAGGGAAUUGCUUGCUGGAAGAAAUGAUGGUAACUAAGAGGGGCUUGGGUGGGAUGUCGGGUGGGAUGUUGAGCACCUGCAUGGGAGGACACUAGUCUGGCAAGUGGAAGGAGGGUGCAUGAACGAGUUUUAUGUGUAUGUCGGUGUGCCUAGGUAGCUCCUCAGCCUGGCUGGGACCCAAUAUGGCUUCUCCUUUUUCCACACACAAGAGCUCAGGGAUCCUCCAUUCUGGCGUCUCUCACCUCCUUCAUCCCCUACCUCCUGCAGCUCCAGUGCCCUGAGCUCCCAGCCACAGUGCUCACUGCUGGCUCUGGUUAUCCACUACCAGCUGCACCACAAGCAGCUCCAGCUGCUCCACUCUGACACCGAAUCAAUUCUGAGAGGGCAGCCCCAGGGGGUCAGGGAUGAGCCAAGGGAAGAGAGACAGGCUAGGAGUUGACUGCCUGUUGGCCUACUGGCUCUGGUGGGAAGAUACCCAUGAUGUUCCCUAUUAUUGUCAUUUUCUGGAAGGAGCCAGUAUCUUCCUCACCUCUCGGCCUUCCCACUUGCUGUGCCUCCCACCAGAAACACUCUUUCUGUACUUCAUGUAACUGCCAACCAGCUCUACCUGACUCCUGCUGCAACAUCUUCUCCUCCAGGAAGGCUUCCUAGAUGCCCCGAGUCUGGGUCAGGUGCCUCCUGUGAGCCUCCUCUCUGCUCUGUGCCCUAUGCACCCCCAACUGCACCCCAGCCACACCAUGUCAAUGUUUGUGUCCACCACCAGCCAGAAGAGCAGGGAUGGUGUUAUCUUUGUUGCCCAGUGUACCCAGUACACAUUAGAUGCCCAACACAUGUUUCUUAAAUGAGUCCUCAAGGUCACCAGCACCAGUGACCUUGAGCAGGACCUGUCCUGGGAAAUGCAGACUCUCUGUCAGUAUAAUAUUCAGAUAACUUAGACAUUGAAGAUCCUUGAAUUGGGAUCCCUACUGUCUGGAGUUGUCUGGCACCGUCCUUGUGGAAUUGACUCAUCUGUAAAAGGGAGUUAAGGGUACAUCAAUAUCCCGUGUCCAUAAAUUUAGAGGUGACUGGAGAACUCUCACAUAAGCGGCCACCUCACUUCACUGGCUGGAUCAUGGGGCAGCUCUUUCCCAAGCCCGGCGAGUGCCUGCAUGCAAGAAGGCGGGAUUCCUUCUGCCAGCAGUUAGCAUGGCACCUGCUGUGUAAGCAUCUUAAACAUGUGCCUAGAUGCGGGAGGCCAGAUGCGCAAGAUGGACACUCGGCUCCUCCUUCGUCCCCGCCUCUCCUCGCUUCCAGGGUAGCAGCCUCAACAAGGGAAACUAUUGUUCCAGUGGAGGCUGCGAGGAUGUCGGUGAUUUACGCGCCGAGCUGUAGCUGCAAAAGGACAAGGGCAAGUGCCGGCCCGACCUAGGGCCCACCGGUCUCUGGCUUGCUCUUGUGAGUAGGUGCACCCUGCCCGCUUGUGGUGGCCUCAGGGGUAAGAAAUCAGGACCCACCCAGUGAGAGAAAUAACCCAAGCUGUCAGCAACGCGGAAAGAAAUGGGCUAGCAACCUCUUAAAGCAUCCUCACGUACUGCGGCGAUGACUCUGUGCACAGACCAAGGAAGGAGAGAGGCCGCGGAAGUCAGCCACAGCAUGUUCCGAAGAGAUGAUUGGAAGAUGGAAGUGGAGGGUUAAAUAAUGAAAUGCAGCUAACAUUUCGGAAAGUUUCUAAAAGUUGUACAACAUGCCCUACAGCUACUCUUUAAAUCUCCAAAUCAAAUGAGUUUCAGGUGGAGCCUCUGGGAGGUGAUGAGGUCAUGAGAGUGGAGCCUCAUGAAUGGGAUGAGCACUCCUACAAAAAGGAUUCCAGAGAGCUCGCUUGCUCCUUCCACAGUGUGAGGACACAGAGGGAAGGCUCUGUCUAUGAAUGAGAAAGUGGGUCCCCACCAGACAUUGAAUCUGCCGCAUCUUGAUACUGGACUUCCAGUCUCCAGAACUGUGGGCAAUAAAUGUCUGUUGUUUAUUACCUGUCCAGUAUCUUUGGUAUUUUGCUAUAGCAACCCAAAUGGACUAAGAAAACACCAGAGGCCAUACCUAAUAAAAAUAUUGACAUCACAAUUUGUUGUAUCAGGUGACUGUUUUUCCACUAAAAUAGUUACUUUAAUUCACGAAUAGCCUGCCAACAGGACAUUGUUCAUCCACCUUGAAACGGCCAUUCAUCAACCAAGCAGGUUGUUGUUGUCAAUAGGGAGCUCUUCAAAGGGCAUUGCCCAUGUGACAGUGGGAUCCAGUAAUUCCUGAGGUGGUUCCAGACUACAUGCUAGAAAAUUCCCUACUACCUGCUCUUGAACAGGAUGAGCAACUCCUUGCACUUCCCUGGUUUGUGAUGAAGAAAUAAACAAUGCCCAGUUCCUGCCCUGGAGAAGCUCAUUGCAUAGAAAAAGGAAAAAGGCAGAUAUACAUGCCACAGUACAGUGCUGAGACAACAUAAAUCACAAGCAACCAAGUACAAAGUGAAUUAUACAGAAUCUGGUUUUCUUCUGUUUGGAUUUGAUACUGAGCUAUACUGGAUUCACUGACAAGAAGAGUUUGAAUUAGCAGCAUGCUGAGAAUGGACACAGUGUUUGAAGAGACUGAUAAAGAAAGUACAGGAGGAGUUUUAUUUUUGGAAGAAGAAAUGGUCCUUGGGCACAGACCCCAUAUGAGUUUUCCUUUCAGCGUUCUCUGCUCAGCUGUUCUCUGCUGUGGUGAGGCGCCUAUGCUUUGUAUAUGUCUGAAAUUAAUUGAAAAGCUAGUGACAGAUUCUGAUGUCAUUUGCCAUGAGCUUUAUUAUUGUGCAGGUAAUUUUGGAUCAAAUCACCCUAACGUUUUUCAACAAAGACUUUAGAAGAAAUAAAGCUGCAUUACUUUUUCUUGGCGCAUUCUUCCUUUAGGACCUAUAGUGAGGCAAUGUGUCCAUGCCCGUCUCUUGUGGGUCAGUCACCACUGACACCUUAUUUUGACCACUCGAUGCCAUCAUCUUUCUCUCAUCGAUCCUAAUCCUUGGGACUACGCAUCAAUGUCUGCACAGUGAUGACCCACCCAACAGUGGCCUCAGCUUGGGGACAUCUGGAGUCGCAUCCACCAUGAGGACGAAGCCUCCUUCUCUUCUGGACCUGCCCAGGAGUGGCCGUUGCUACAAGACCUCUGUUGCUACGUCCAGGGUGAGAAUAAAGACUUCUCCUCAGGACUCUCCCAGGAGAAGACAUGGCAUUGAGACAUCUGGUGGCCAGGAAACUUUGGAAAAUAGUGGAAAGUGACCAAUUCAAGUCUAUUUCAUGGGAUGAGAAUGGAACUUGCAUAGUGAUUAAUGAAGAACUCUUCAAGAAAGAAAUUUUGGAAACAAAGGCUCCUUACAGAAUAUUUCAAACUGAUGCUAUCAAAAGUUUUGUUCGACAGCUCAACCUUUAUGGAUUUAGUAAAAUUCAACAGAAUUUUCAAAGAUCUGCCUUUCUAGCCACCUUUCUGUCAGAAGAGAAAGAAUCGUCUGUCUUAAGCAAGGUAUUUGACAUAUUUGAGUUACCACUUUAUGUAAAGUAUAUAUGUAAUUUUACUUUGUACAUCAGUAAAUAUGUUAAUACAUGCAGUAAGACCAGCUUUUGAAAAUUAUAUAAAAUAUUAAGGUAGAAAUUUUGUUUUGAAAUUAUUGUGUUCAGCUUG